rnacentral:rRNA from 1 species
CCCUUAGAUGUUCUGGGCCGCACGCGCGCUACACUGAUGCAUUCAACGAGUUACCUUGACCGUGAGGUCCGGGAAAUCUUUGAAACUGCAUCGUGAUGGGGAUAGAUUAUUGCAAUUCUUAAUCUUCAACGAGGAAUGCCUAGUAAGCGCAAGUCAUCAGCUUGCGUUGAUUACGUCCCUGCCCUUUGUACACACCGCCCGUCGCUCCUACCGAUUGAAUGGUCCGGUGAAGCGUUCGGACCGUGGCCUUUGGACGGUUCGCCGUCUGUUGGCUGCGGGAAGUUCGUUAAACCUUNUNAUUUAUNGGAAGGAGAANUCGUANCA